ACGAACGCUGGCGGCAUGCCUCACACCUGCAAGUCGAACGAGACCUUCGGGUCUAGUGGCGCACGGGUGCGUAACGCGUGGGAAUCUGCCCUUGGGUUCGGAAUAACAGUUGGAAACGACUGCUAAUACCGGAUGAUGACGUAAGUCCAAAGAUUUAUCGCCCAAGGAUGAGCCCGCGUAGGAUUAGCUAGUUGGUGAGGUAAAGGCUCACCAAGGCGACGAUCCUUAGCUGGUCUGAGAGGAUGAUCAGCCACACUGGGACUGAGACACGGCCCAGACUCCUACGGGAGGCAGCAGUGGGGAAUAUUGGACAAUGGGCGAAAGCCUGAUCCAGCAAUGCCGCGUGAGUGAUGAAGGCCUUAGGGUUGUAAAGCUCUUUUACCCGGGAUGAUAAUGACAGUACCGGGAGAAUAAGCUCCGGCUAACUCCGUG
rnacentral:rRNA from 1 species